GGCUCAAUGGUCUAGUGGUGUACGUAAUCAAUUACCUGUUUCUCGCUCCUCAAAUCACUAACAAUCAACAGAUGAUUCCUGCUUUGGGUAUUCCUCAAACUUGCAGGAGGCCCCGUGUUCGAAUCACGGUUGAGCCC